GAUGAACGCUAGCUACAGGCUUAACACAUGCAAGUCGAGGGGUAGCAGGGUAGCAAUACCGCUGACGACCGGCGCACGGGUGAGUAACACGUAUCCAACCUUCCCAUAACUCGGGGAUAGACUUUCGAAAGAAAGAUUAAUACCCGAUAGUACUUAAGAAAGGCAUCUUUGUUAAGUUAAAGAUUUAUGGGUUAUGGACGGGGAUGCGUUCCAUUAGAGAGUUGGUGAGGUAACGGCUCACCAAGUCUUCGAUGGAUAGGGGUUCUGAGAGGAAGGUCCCCCACAUUGGUACUGAGACACGGACCAAACUCCUACGGGAGGCAGCAGUGAGGAAUAUUGGUCAAUGGGCGAGGGCCUGAACCAGCCAAGUAGCGUGAAGGAUGAAGGUCCUAUGGAUUGUAAACUUCUUUUAUAGUAGAAUAAAGUGACCCACGUGUGGAUUUUUGUAUGUAUACUAUGAAUAAGGAUCGGCUAACUCCGUGCCAGCCGCCGCCGUAA
rnacentral:rRNA from 1 species